AGCAACAGAGAGCCUGUCCUCAAUCUAGAGAAUUCUUUAUAACGCAACAUUCACAAUGACACCCAUCCUCAUAGCCUUCUGGACUUUUGCCUUCUGCUUUAGAGAGUCCUAUGGACAGGUCACUGUGACCCAGGCUCCUGCAGUGAAAACUGUUCAACAGGGAGGAUCAGUCACUCUGAAUUGUAAAACCAGCAGUGAUGUGUGUAUAAAGGCAGGGACAUCAUCUCCUCAUUUAGCCUGGUACCAACAGAAACCUGGAGCAGCUCCUAAACUCCUGAUCUAUUAUGUCAAAACACUUCAGUCUGGGACUCCAUCCAGAUUCAGUGGCAGUGGAACUCACAGUGACUUCACUCUGACCAUCAGUAAUGUCCAGGCUGAGGAUGCAGGAGUUUACUACUGUCAGAGUUUCCACUAUAUCAACAGUCAAAAUGUGUUCACACAGUGA